UACAGAGGGUGCAAACGUUGUUCGGAAUUACUGGGCGUAAAGCGUGUGUAGGCGGCUUGGCAAGUCGGAUGUGAAAGCCCUGGGCUCAACCCAGGAAGUGCACUCGAUACUGCCGAGCUUGAGUAUCGGAGAGGUUGGUGGAAUUCCCGGUGUAGUGGUGAAAUGCGUAGAUAUCGGGAGGAACACCAGUGGCGAAGGCGGCUUCCUGGCCUGUUCUUGACGCUGAGGCGCGAAAGCUAGGGGAGCAAACGGG
rnacentral:rRNA from 1 species